rnacentral:snoRNA from 1 species
GUGGCGAUCUCCGGCCUUUCUGAGACGUGAUGAUAAACUGGUUGGCGGA